rnacentral:rRNA from 1 species
UAAAUUUUAGUUUGGUUAAGUUAGAAAGGGCGCACGGUGGAUGCCUUGACACUAGGAGUCGAUGAAGGACGGGACUAACGCCGAUAUGCUUCGGGGAGCUGUAAGUAAGCUUUGAUCCGAAGAUUUCCGAAUGGGGAAACCCACCAUACGUAAUGGUAUGGUAUCCUUAUCUGAAUACAUAGGGUAAGGAAGACAGACCCAGGGAACUGAAACAUCUAAGUACCUGGAGGAAGAGAAAGCAAAUGCGAUUUCCUGAGUAGCGGCGAGCGAAACGGAACAUAGCCCAAACCAAGAGGCUUGCCUCUUGGGGUUGUAGGACAUUCUAUACGGAGUUACAAAGGAACGAGGUAGACGAAGCGACCUGGAAAGGUCCGUCGUAGAGGGUAACAACCCCGUAGUCGAAACUUCGUUCUCUCUUGAAUGUAUCCUGAGUACGGCGGAACACGUGAAAUUCCGUCGGAAUCUGGGAGGA